GUCUGCGGCCAUGCCACCCUGAACAAGCCCGAUCCCAUCUGAUCUCAGAAGCUAAGCAGGGUCGGGCCUGGUUAGUACUUGGAUGGGAGACCACCUAGGAAGACUAGGUACUGUAGGUG
rnacentral:rRNA from 1 species